rnacentral:lncRNA from 10 species
AGAGGCAAGUUAAACUUGCUCAGGGCCUGAGAGAUAGAGAUGGGGAGUUGAAGGGGGCGCCUUCUUCUUAGGCAGACAGAAGUUACCUUGGGAAGACAAGCCUGGCAGGAGCAUGAGCAUUGAGGAGUUACGGAAGGUAUGGCUGGAAAUGUGGAACAUUGGAAGCUAGUGGAAAUUUGGAUUUACCCUGUAGGACAUGUGGAAGCCCCAGAGUUUUCAGAGCUGGAAGGGGGUUUCCCUGUGACAAAAAUAGGUUUGGAUGAAUUUGUUUUAUAUCAUUGUAACAGGCUGAAAAAAAUUUGAGACAAAAUAUGCUUUUCUCUAAUGGAGAAUAAUUGGGAUGGUUAGAAAAAAGGAUAUUAGCUCUGGAUAUAGGAAUAAACAAUAAAACAAUAAAGUGUUUUUCAAACUUUUCUAGACAGUGACCCAAUCAAAAAGUACAUUUUAUAUCAAUACGCAGUACACAUGCACAUAAACACAUACAUACAUGUGAAACAAAUUUCAUGAAACAAUAUUUCCUUUUCUUAUGGGCAGUGCAUCUGAAAUGUUCUAUUUCAUUCUGCUGCGUUCUAUUCUAUUAUGUUCUAUUCUAUUUCUUUUUUAAACAAUGCUAGUCAUAGGUGACUAAACAUAUUCCGUCCUAAUAUGGCCACCCCUCCAGAAGACCAGGACACUCCCAGUUCUGCAGAGGCAUGGCCAUGGGUGUGGCAGAGAGCAUGGGAUGGGAGUGGGAGAGCAGGUGUGGGGACUGGCUCUGUCUUUCAGGUUACGUGGCUUCAGGCAUAGCUCAUCA